rnacentral:lncRNA from 1 species
AGGACUUAUGACCAUGCUCAAGCUGAUGUUAUAUUCUCCAUGCAAUAGGGACAUGCUAGCUUUCAAUGCAUGCUCUGUCCAGAUAGCAUCAUAUAAGUAGGAAAAUCGCUAAUGGUCCAUAUCAACGCAGCCUUCAUUAUAAAAUUCUGCUUCUUUGAUGCAUCAAAAGUAUGAAUACCAUCGUACCAUAACAAUUUCAGCUUAUCAACAAGAGGACUUAGAUAUACAUCAAUACUUGGAUCAAAAUAUCGUGGUCCAGGAAUAACUAAUAUAAGAAAGAUGUUAUGUUCUUUCAUACACAUCUCAAUUGGC